AUUGUUUCCCACUACUACACUGAAAUAGAAUCUUUAAUCAUUUCAGUCUUCAUGCUCAUUUGAAUUUUGAAGUGUUAAAUCCAGAACAUUGAAGUAAAAAAAAUAACACAAUAAAACUGUCAACAAGAGAUAAAUUCAUAGAUUCAACCAAGAUAAAGAUGCUAAGGAUGCUAAAGUAGAAGAAGAUAAGGACUCCUAACUGCAAUUCGAAAAACAAGG
rnacentral:misc_RNA from 1 species